CUUAUGAGAAAAUGUAGUAGACUAUAAGUAUACCUGUACCUGUAUGUAUACUAAGUACACUACGUUUACUCAAGAG
rnacentral:pre_miRNA from 1 species